rnacentral:rRNA from 1 species
AUGGCCACUUACUCAGGAGGAGUCAAUACCGAGGGGAACAAUCAGACUGUUCUAAGCACAUUACCCAAGGAACUGCCGUUAGACUUCUUGAGGACUAUCACAGAUCAGUUCUCAGACAAGCGCAUUCUUGGUACAGGUGCAUUUGGAACGGUUUAUACGGGAGUUAUGCCAGAUAGACAAAGGAUUGCCGUGAAGAAGCUUGCGGAGAGUGCACCGGUUUCACGCGACAAAGCAUUUACCAAUGAGGUUCAAAAUAUCAUGGCUCUCCACCAUAAAAAUGUGGUCAAGUUGGUCGGGUACUACCAUGAAGGACAAAAGAAAGUUGUUCAAAACAAUGGAAGAUAUAUUGUUGCAGACGUUUAUGAAAGUCUACUCUGCUACGAAUAUUUACCUAUGGGAAGCCUUCAGAAGAACCUUUUUGACGAACCCGUUAACAUGGCUUGGGACGUGCGCUUCAAAAUAAUUAAGGGGAUCUGCAAUGGUUUACUCUUUCUUCAUAGGAUUCCUAUUAUCUAUAUGGAUUUGAAGCCUGAAAAUAUACUGUUGGACAAUAACAUGAUACCAAAAAUCGCGGAUUUUGGACUUUCCAAGCUCUUUGGCCAAGAACAAACACGGGCAAACACACAGAAUGUUGUGGGAUCAUACGGAUACAUAGCCCCAGAAUACCUAUACAGAGGUGAAAUCUCCGCUCAGUCAGAUAUAUAUAGUUUAGGCCUAUUAAUCAUCGAGACUACCACCGGCGAGAAGAAUAACCCCAAACAGAACGAACCGUCAGCAAGGGAGUUUAUUGAAAGAGUACGUCAAAAUUGGACAGAAGGACACAUAGCGUCCAGAUACUCAAAGUUAAAUGCAAAUGGCCUCCAGGAAGUAAAAGUAUCCAUUGAAAUUGGUCUAGAUUGUGUGCGCAUUGAUCGGAAGAGCAGACCCUCAAUCGAAAGCAUUGUUCAGAGGCUCGAUGGACGCUGUGCAAGCGAAAGGGCAAACCAGUUCUCCACUACUUCCAUGCGAGCAUAA